rnacentral:tRNA from 1 species
GCCGAGCUUCAGCUGAGUGGUAGAGCGUCCGAUCGGUGUGCGUAAGGUCCUAGGUUCGACUCCUGUUGGGGAACUCGCUCGGAA